rnacentral:rRNA from 1 species
UGAGCAAUCUGCCCUUCUCAUCGGAAUAAGCGUUGGAAACGACGUCUAAUGCCGAAUACGACCUCCUUUCGCAUGAUCGGAGGUGGAAAGCUCCGGCGGAGAAGGAUGAGCUCGCGGCCUAUCAGCUAGUUGGUGUGGGUAAUGGCCCACCAAGGCGACGACGGGUAGCCGGCCUGAGAAGGUGACCGGCCACACUGGGACUGAGACACGGCCCAGACUCCUACGGGAGCAG